rnacentral:lncRNA from 1 species
CAAAAAGUAACUAAUGGAACUCUGAGGUUGUCCCAUUGUUUCCUAUUGGGAAAUAUAGGCUGAGCAGCGUACUCUGUUGUCAUCAAACGCUACCCCAAAAUGCCGUUUGCCCUUGGAACGCUGAGCUCCCCCAUUGUUUUCCUAUGGAGAGGCAUGCUGGUUGGGUAGCGUACUCUGCUGUCAUCGAUCGCCAGACCAGAAAUAGUUAAAAGUUUCAAUUUCUUCCCUACUUCCUCAUUAUGCAGACCCUACAACAAGUGCAGCUGAAAAUUCACUCAUCAAAACCACUGCUACAGUUGCUGGCGAUCAUGGCAAUGCAGUGACUAGCCCACAGAGUUUGGCUAGGCUAGUCUCUGUCAACGGUGAAGCUAGCAGAGCCCCCCUCCCAGUACCGCCACCAGCCUCCUUGCCGCCACCCAGCUAAGCAGCAGCUGCUAGCAAUGCUAAAUCACACGGGCCAGAGCCACUUACAUCCAGAGGAGCAACCCCAGAUGACCUUGGGGUUGAGAAGCCCAACCAGGUCACAUUAGGUAAGUUUCCAGUAAGAUUGUAUUCAGGGAAGAAGCUGUCUUUUGGUAAGAAUUCAGUACAAACUGUUGCAGCCUUUUGUUUCUCCUGAUGAAAUUUCGGUCCAGCACGUCAUCAGAUUCAACCUUUACCAUUAAAGGGUUCUGUGAUUGGAAGCAUGCUUUACAGAGAGAUAAAGGACUGAACGAACAUGCCACCUCGAAAUAACACUUAACGUGAGGCUAUGGAGAGAGAGAAACGCGUAAAGAGACAGGGCAGGAAAUAUCAACACUGGUUGACACGGAUCAGCUUGCACGUCAUCGAUAUUACCUGGG